rnacentral:lncRNA from 1 species
CUGCUACUCCUAUCGCAGUGAAGCUUGUUUGCAGCAAAAGUAUACCAUGUGAAGGUGUAGAAGUCGCUGAUAUUAACCUCACUUAUAGUGGAAUACGAGGACCGAUUUUGUCUGAAUGUGCAAACGUGCAGCCUCUCAUUACUGGAAAGCAAAGCCCUCAAAUAUGUGCUAAGCCUGCUCCUGCUGGUGCUCCAUCAACAGACUAAUCUUUUCAACCAAUGCCACACAAAGUCUGCAAAACCAUAUGUGAAAGUUUAUCACAUAUCUAUAUUUAAUUCACAACAUUAUUUUGUAUUCAUUUUUAACAUUCCAUAGGUUUGAUCCAUUCUUUGAUGAUUCAUGAAGCUGAUCAUGUACCUUUUUUCUUCCUUCCAUUUUCUUCUGGGGAAUGAAAUAUAUAAUGAAAAUAAUUCAUACAAUUUUAACUAUUCUAUCCCUUUAGACGUAGACCUACGUGAGUCGUGUUAUAACAUUCAAUUCUACGAAUGUUUUGAUAACUCUUAACAACCUCAAAUGUGUUAUCAAACGUUGUUGAGUUUUGGAAUUUUUAAAAUUAAUUUCUUAUGUAUUUAGCAAAAGCACUGAUAUAAUUAAUUUUUACAUAGUUGAAAUUAAUAUUCAAUCAAUCAAAAAUCAUAAUUUAAUUAAUCAAGCUAGUACUAUAAUAAAAUCUCUAAGCAUCCAAUAAUAUCAUCGGAAUGUAUUAAAACAUAAUUGAAUGAUCAUCGUUAAGUUCAAAAUCUCAAAAAUAUGUUGAAAUAGGUAAAAUAAUCCUUCGUACCCAAGCUAGAGUAUAAUCAAAUUUGAAAUGUAAAAAAAAAUCACAAAAUGAUAUUGCUUAUUGAAUUAAUUAAUUGUUUUUGUCAACUUUUGUAGUUUUGUUACUUGUGAAACAUAGGCUUUGAAAUAUGCAUGGAUCAAUGACGCAUGUGCAUCUGUUCGUCCAAGUGCGAUGGUUCUUCUAAGGAGAAUAUUUAAAGUAAGAGAAGGAGAAUUUAAGGCCCUUGUAAUAGCCUAUUGAAUUGCGAUGGAACAUUGUCGGCUCCGAAACACUUUCAUGAAGAUAGUUGAAUUACUUUGCAUAUGUUGAUAGAAUGAGACUAUCAAAUGGAGUUUUUGAUGGCCAAGGAAAGGCAUGUUCGGAAAAGAAUGAUUGCCAUUAACGUAUAAAUUUUUCUAACCUCCGUAUUGUAAGUUCUAUACCUUUUGUUUUCUCUUCCAUUAACCCCAUUCGUCUUUGUUGAUUCUGAAAGGGUUCGUUAGAUUGUAUUCUCUAUUAUUUUCAUUUUUACAAUUUGGUAAAUGUGUUGUUAGUACCAUAUGAUGAUUAAGAAAUAAAAUAUUGAACUAAAUUUAACCAUAUAAAAUUGAGGCAAAAGAGCUAACUUAUUUUUAAAAAAUAUAUAUCAAGACUAAAUAUUUAGAGAAAACUCAUAUUUUCAUCCCUCCCUAAAAGUUUGUGUGCAUUAUUGCUUUCUCACCGUAUCUCUUACACGACUUAUUGAUCAUAUAAAAUGAUCAAAGUUUAAGAUUUGACUUCAUUACCAAUUCAAUUGUGAGGAGAAUAACAUCAUUCGAUAGCAAAAACUUCCAUGUCAACAUCCUAGGGUGAAAGAACCUCACAUUCCAAGGUGUUAACAUAAUUGCACCAGAAGAUCGUCCGAACACAGAUGGAAUACACAUUGAUCGAUCAAUUGGGAUCUCAAUCUUAAAAUCUCGAAUAACAACAAGAGUCAAUUGCAUCUCACUUGGAGAUGGAAGCAAACAAAUAAAAGUCACAAAUGUGAUAUGUGGGCCAUGUCAUGGAAUAAGCAUAGGAAAGUCUUGAAAAAUAAACAAAUGAAGAACCUAUAUAUCGAAAGUGUCAUAGUAAAGAACUGCACAAUAAUGAACAUCACUAAUGGUGUUAGGAUCAAAACAUGGUACACCUCUCAUGUUGCUGGUAUUGCCAUCAACAAGAAUUUUUCAGACAUUACAAUGGUCAAUGUUAGCAACCAAAUUCUCAUAGACCAAGAGUAUUGUCCUUGGAAUCAUAGCAAUCAUCAGGCAUUGAUCACAUUCUUGAAAUUUUGAUUUUAAAAGUUUUCAUGCAUAUUGUCAACUUCAUGGAUAAACUUUAAUUUUCACUCUCAUUUUUCAGAUUUUGUCAAAGAUUAAGUUUAAUAAAGUGAGCUUCGAGAAUAUUAGAGGAAGUUCUGCAACUCCAGUGGAAAUCAAACUUAUUUGUAGUAGCAACCUACCAUGUGAAGAAGUAAAACUUAUGUUUCAUGCUUUUUUUUUCUAAUAUAAUCUAAAUUUCGACUCACUCAUCCUUGAUUAUCAACGAGAAUUUAAUAUCACAUAAUUGUUAUGUUGUAGAUUUUUAUAUUGUCGAUUGAAACAUAUAUAGAUCUAUUUUUGUUCAACUUGUUUUAAGCCACUUGUGUUGCACACUGUGAGGUUUGAACAUGCGUGGUCUCAAAGAGGAAUUUAAGGAAUGAAUUUUAUUGGGAUUUAGAGAAUUAGAAGUACUUCAAAAUUUCAAGGGAUUAUAACUAAUUUUUGACAAAUAUAAACCAUGGUUAUUUAACUUCAACCAUUCAUCGAUCUUUGCCAAAUAUAGUAAAUAAAAUUUGGAAGAGAAUUUUUCAAACACUAUUGAUCUUCUUCUCCUAUAUAAAGAGGGCUGAAUGAAAGUGCAUAUUCAAACCCAUUCUUUUCAAGUUAGCCAUUAGGACAAUAUAUAAGUAAAUAAAUAAAGUAUAGAAGGCGUAGUAGUGAUGGGAUUGGCAUUACUACCUUUCUUUUUAUUGUUGGCAUCUACUAUUGAAGCCCAAUCCCUUUUUGAUGUUACAAGAUAUGGUGCCAAACCUAAUACAGAUAUUACUCAGGCAAGUAUAUAUGCAAAACUGAUGAACUUUUUUUUUUAAUUUAUUAGGAAGAAGACUUUAAUUUGAUGAUAGAACUAAACUUUUGCAGGCCUUAGCAAAUGCAUGGAAGGAAGCAUGUAUGUCCACAACUCCUAGUAAAUUGUUGAUUCCAAAAGGAGUAUACCAAUUAAGUCAAUCUUAUCUUAAAGGACCUUGCAAGAGUGUUCCUAUUCAAGUCCAAGUCGACGGAACACUAAAAGCUCCUCUCCAUCCAAAUGGAGAUGGGUUGGUUCUUUUUGCAUACAUUGAUCAACUAAUGUUAUCAGGCACGGGAGUUUUUGAUGGUCAAGGAAAAGCAGGUUGGGAUAAGAAUGAUUGCCACAAAAAGAAGAUAUGUACCAAACUUCCCAUGGUAAAUUGUUUAUAUAUUAUUUCAAACCUUUUGCCUCAUUUUAUAUACAAUUUAAAUCUACAUAAUUUCAAUUACAUAUGCGUCGUUUUAAAUUGAGAGUUUUUUUUUUUUUUUUUUUAUUCUGAUCCCUUAUUUGUUUAAAUCCAUCAGAAUUUGAAGUUCAGUUUCAUCACCAAUUCAAUUGUGAAGGACAUAACUUCCUUGGACAGUAAAAAUUUCCACAUCAAUCUUUUGGGUUGCAAGAAUGUUACUUUUCAACACGUGACAAUCAGUGCACCAGAGAAUAGUCCCAACACGGAUGGAAUUCACAUAAGUAGCUCUGAACAGAUAAACAUUCUCGAUUCAAAAAUCUCAACUGGAGAUGAUUGUGUGUCUGUUGGAGAUAGCAACAAGCAAGUAACUAUUACUAAUGUAACUUGCGGACCAGGACAUGGCAUUAGCGUAGGAAGCUUGGGCAAGUACACCAAGGAAAAAGACGUGGUAGGAGUUACUGUGAAAGCAUGCAAAUUAAUCAAUACUACCAACGGUGUCAGAAUCAAAACAUGGCCAGAUUCUGCCGGUGCAUUCAUAGCCUCUGACAUGCACUUUGAAGAUAUUGAGAUGCAAAACGUGAGCAACCCUGUCAUUAUAGACCAAGAAUACUGUCCGUGGAAUCAAUGCAACAGAAAGGUAUAUAUUGUAUUGAAAUUAUACUUUAUUUUGUUUAUUAGUUAAACUUCAUGAACUAAACAAAUACACUUUUGGGACCAUUAAUAUUUCAGGUUCCAUCCAAGAUUAAGAUCAGCAAAGUGAGUUUCAAAAAUAUUAGAGGCACUUCUGCUACUCCUAUCGCAGUGAAGCUUGUUUGCAGCAAAAGUAUACCAUGUGAAGGUGUAGAAGUCGCUGAUAUUAACCUCACUUAUAGUGGAAUACGAGGACCGAUUUUGUCUGAAUGUGCAAACGUGCAGCCUCUCAUUACUGGAAAGCAAAGCCCUCAAAUAUGUGCUAAGCCUGCUCCUGCUGGUGCUCCAUCAACAGACUAAUCUUUUCAACCAAUGCCAC